rnacentral:rRNA from 1 species
GGUUGACCUCGGAUCAGGUAGGAAAACCCGCUGAACUUAAGCAUAU